UACGUAGGCAGCGAGCGUUGUUCGGAAUUACUGGGCGUAAAGAGUGUGUAGGCGGUGCUCCCAGUCUGUUGUGAAAUCUCCCGGCUUAACUGGGAGGGUGCAGCGGAAACUAGAGUGCUAGAGGGUGGGAGAGGUAAGCGGAAUUCCUGGUGUAGCGGUGAAAUGCGUAGAUAUCGGGAGGAACACCUGUGGCGAAAGCGGCUCACUGGACCACAACUGACGCUGAUGCGCGAAAGCUAGGGGAGCAAACAGG
rnacentral:rRNA from 1 species